UCCCAAAGUUGCAGACAGCCCGGCGAACCGCGCAAUGCGCUUCUUCUGCCUGCAGCAGAGAAAAGGAAAGAAAACUCCGCAGGGGCUCCGUUGGCUUCUCCACGAGUGACAACCAUGUUUUCCCAGAUAGAAGACCGGAGCCCUGCUCCUUUGCGAUCCGCCGAGGGCUGCAGAGAGCAUCCUCAUCCAUUUGGGCACCCCUGCCCAGGAAGAGCCCGGCCAUCCCUUUCCGGACUGGAUCCUUAAGAGGUGAAUUUUCUUCCGUGGAUUCCGAUUUGCUCCGUCUGACCAGCCUAGGCAAUCCAGCAUCGCGUGGUACCAGUGCCGCUGGGCACACUGGCUUCACGCCGGCUCCGCCUCACCAGCAAGCGCAUUCCCAGGUGGUCAGGCUCAGGAUGGACCAUGAGCUUUCAAAAAGGAAAAAGGUGGAAAUCCUCAACUAUGCUGCCAUCUGAAUAAGUGUUUCUUUGUAGAUGCACAGAGUCAAGGAAAAUUACAUCCCUGCAUUAUGUAAUGUACCAACAACGCACUUACCCACUGUUUUAAUCUAGGUUAUUCUUGAAAGCAGAGCCUGAGACAAAGGUAGACACAUUCUAUUUAUGAGUCUAACACCCAGGAGCAGGAAUGAGAGAUAGGGGAGUGAACUGGGGAAAAGGGAAACUAAGUCCGAGCAAAACCAGAUACUGCUCUUAUCAAGUGGUCCACCCCUAUUAAUGGCUACAUAAUGCAGAACUUUCUCAGGAUUCUUCUUAAACUUUAUCUCAGAACUGUCUGCCUCAGGGAGAAAGGAGAAGUAUUUCUCCAUCAGCAGCCACCUCCUGUGUGUUGAGGGCUGCUCCUUUGGGGCAUUAACCCACUGCCUCCACCACCCCAACCCUCUGGGCUGCAAAGAGCUAGCUGACAGUCCAGCUGGUACCUUAGCAUCACACAUUGCUGCAUCAGAGAGGUCUUAAGACAGGAAGCUAGAGUCUUGGUGCAUGCUCGAAGUGAGACGGUGUCAGCACAGAGCAGGGUAAAAUCUUCCCGUUAACUCUUCACCAGAGCUAUGACUGGAAUCAGAGGUUGAAAAGAUGUGAGACUGUACCCAAGAAGCAUCUUAUAAGCCUACGUAAUAUACUGUUAGACUCAUCGAAAUCUAUUUCCUCCCUUCUUUAUAAUCAAAACUUCAGUGUCCAGAAUAAAGUUGGCAGAAGGGUUAAAUUGGAAAGUUAAAUGUACUAGAAGGUGUACAUUUAUAAGUUUUGACCUUGAGUCGUGUUCAAGGAGAAAGUGACAUUGGAACUUGGAAAAUUUAAAAAUGAUUCUACUUGAAAAAUUUGACCAUUGCAUAGAAAUAUUAGCUAUCGUCUAAUCUUUUGUAAUCUUAGAAACAAUCGUGAAUUGUUUGGUGAAAAAUGAAAAAAUAACCAUUUCUUAUGUCUCCGUGACCUUUAUAGACCAAUGUCACCAACUUUUCCUAAGCUUUUUCUGGAGGAAAUUCGCAUUUGAAUUGAUGGACUGAAUAAAGCAGAUUGCAGUCCCCAGUGUGGAUGGGCUUGAUCCAGUCUUCUAAGGACCCAAAUAAAAUAGGUGGAGGAAGCUUGAAUUUUCUGCCUGACUGUGGCGCUGGGACACCCAUCUUCUCCUGCCCUUGAACUGGGACUGACACCAUCAGUGCUCCUGGUUCUCAGACCUUCGGACAGCAGACUUGGGGCCUUCUCGGCCUCCAUUAUUGUGUAAGCCAAUUCCUUAUAAUAAAUAA
rnacentral:lncRNA from 1 species